CCUACGGGUGGCUGCAGUGAGGAAUAUUGGUCAAUGGGCGAGAGCCUGAACCAGCCAAGUCGCGUGAGGGAGGAAGGCCCUACGGGUUGUAAACCUCUUUUGCCGGGGGACAAACGGCGGCACGCGUGCCGUCCUGAGGGUACCCGGCGAAAAAGCAUCGGCUAACUCCGUGCCAGCAGCCGCGGUAAUACGGAGGAUGCGAGCGUUAUCCGGAUUUAUUGGGUUUAAAGGGUGCGGAGGGGGGAUGCAAAGUCAGGGGUAAAAUACGGGGGCUCAACCUGCGUCCGCCGUUGAAACUGGCGUUCGUGAGUGGGCGAGAAGUACGAGGAAUGCGUGGUGUAGCGGGGAAAUGCAUAGAUAUCACGCAGAACCCCGAUUGCGAAGGCGGCGUACCGGCGCCCGACUGACGCUGAAGCACGAAAGCGUGGGUAUCGAACAGGAUUAGAUACCCGGUAGUC
rnacentral:rRNA from 1 species